AAGGUGCUUAUUUACUGCACAAGAGUGAUCCCAGAGUGAGGGUACGAUUGGGCCCUGUCGUCCAGGAAUCCUGGAGCGCCGAGAGCGAAGCCCAGAACCAGGGCGAGGACAGACAGUGGGGGUGGGGAGGAGGCUGCAGGAGGCUCCUGGCUGGGAAGGGCUGGGAAGGUGGAAUUCGAAGGGGGCGGGGCUAGGAGGUGGUGGCCCCGCCCACAAGGCCGCCGCCCCGCUUUGCAGCUCGAGCCUGAGCUGCAGCCUGCGCGCUAAUUAUAGACGUGAAUGGAAAGCGGCCGCUUCUGAAUGAUCGCGUUGCUCGAGCUGCCGUUGGAAGCUUAGAAGCAGGUGCUACCGUGCUAGAUACAAAGCGAUCUAUUUAAAAGCCCUCUGUCACGCACGCACACUUACUGACGAAUCCUCUGGCUCUCUCCUACCACCGCCCGGUGGCGGAUUCCGGAAUUGGUUCAAAAGGCCUUGAUCCCGAACACCCAGGACAGAGACAGAGUACUUUUCCUACCUCUUUCGCCUGCAUCCUUAGAAAACUCCCGUGGAUGAGAAGAUCCCCAGGCCUUUACAAGCUGUUGUUUUACAAAAGGAGAAACUGAGGCAGGAAGAGGCGGUGGAUGUGCACCAGAGCACGUGGUGCGUCGGUGCAAUAGCUGAGGGCACAUGGAACAUUCACCAAGAUAAACCAUAUGCUGGAACAUAAAAUUUAUGGAUGUCACCCAUGAAGCAGAGUCCUUCAGACCCUCAAUCAAAAACAAGUCUCAUUUUACAUUAAAUUGGAGGACUAUCUGGAGUCUCUGACCACCGUGUGACAGAAAAGAGAGCAGAAUUGUUGCAUGAUGGGUAACACUCAUCAGUAAUCGCUGUUUGCCAAGCCAUCUGGGAGGAGACCAAAGAGCUAUAAAAUAAGUUCAGGCACGGUGGCUCAUGCCUGUAAUCCCAGCACUUUGGGAGGCCGAGGUGGGUGAAUCACCUGAGGUCAGGAGUUCGAGACCAGCCUGGCCAACAUGGUGAAACCCUGUCUCUACUAAAAAUACAAAAAAAAUAGCUGGGUGUGGUGGUGGGUACCUGUAAUCCCAGCUUCUCAGGAGGCUGAGGCAGGAGAACUGCUUGAACCUGGGAGGCAGAAGUUGCAGUGUGCCGAGAUUGUGCCACUACUCUCCAACCUAGGCAACAGAGCGAAUCUACAUCUCAAAAAAAAAAUAAAUAAAAAUAAAAAAUAUAUACAUAGGUACCAGAGCUGAGAACGUAGCAGCCUGGGACCAUGUCAUUCAGGAGCAAAUAACAAGCCCAGAAAAUGCCUGGGAGAAGUCUUGUACCAGUCCACUUCAUGGUUUAGUAGGAACAUCAUGGACUCAGCUGACAAUGAUUUGGGCAUGGCCCUGCCACUAACCCACGAGAAGCUGUAGACCAGUCCCUUUCAUUUCCCCUUUCUGGGGACCCGCUUCCCCUUGUGCAAAAUGGAGUCACUAGAAUCUAGUGUCUUGAUCUCCAAGAUGAUUUCCACUUUUACCUUUCUGUGUCUAUUUUUGUGUUCCUUCUAAUUCCCCUGGGUCUUCAAGGAAAGGAUGAAUAAUUCUUGGUAGUCUUUGUGUUAGAAGGCAGGGGGUGGUCUGAGACCUGCACAGGGCAUAUUUGCUUAUAUGGAUUGGCUUAUAUCGCCUCCCAAAUCCUGGAUAUGCUCAGACAUAUCCCAAAAGGUUCUACAAGGACAUAUUUACAAACAGCUUCCAAACAGCAGUAAAAUGGCAAAACAAGCCUUGCAAGAGAAAUUCUGUAUACCAGACAAUUUAAUUCUGAACAAUGGACCACAUGAGGGUGUAUAAAUAACUAAUUAUGCUGGACAACAUGAACAGCUUUUUUGGAUGAUUGCAAAAUUGGGGAGGAAGGAAAUGUGAUGGGUAUUUAUAUAUUUGGGCUUCAGUCAAAGAUUUCAUAUUCAUUCUUAAGCAAUUUGACUUACAAAAUUAGCUCAGACUAGAACAUGGUCAAACGACUUGAAACUGGAAGAAAGUCUGCUAUCCCAGGGGGAUGGUUUGUGCCCAAGAAUCCAAGGGAAUGGAAUGGAGUACUGUGUGUGUGCUCCUGCAGCCUCUGCAGGCUGCUCAGUGAGAGGUUUCUUGGUCUUCAGAAGGACCUGCAGAAAAGGAGUAGGGACUGUUUUGGAGCAUUUGUAAUAAGUGUUCCAAUAUGAAUCCACUUCAUCUUGUUAUCACACAAGCACACGCUCCUGAACACGCAGGUCCACAUUUUUCCUAGGUUCCUCCUAUUCCAUCAGUACUAUGCCAAGCCUUGAAGUGACGGAGACUGGAUUUCUGGGAGGUGCAUGGGGACACUUGGCUCACCUCUAAAUCCAGUGCCUGCUACUACUUCUAGUGCCUACAUACCAGGUACACAGAAAUACUUGUUGAACCAACUAGUUUUUUAAUGAAAUAAGUAGCAGACUGUCCUUGUGAAAACAGAAUCCUUUGUGAACACAGAGGGGACAGAACAGUUCAUUCUGACCUUAGGGAUUGCAAGGCCCUUUCCUUCUUGCCGCAGGGCCUUCAAACAUCUAUUUGCCCCUUCUUGCCCUCUGCCUAAAUCCUAUUCAUCUUUAUAUUGCUUCCAGAGAACCUUCCCUAACUCCAAACCCCUCCUCCUUGUCCUUGCAUCAUUCUAUUUCAUGACAUCAUGUCCUUUCUCUUCAAAAUACAUAGCACAACUUACUAUUAAUAUCUAUUUGUGUGUUUGUUUGUUGGGAAUCUACUCCUACAAUAGACUAUGAGCAAUAAUGUCUUUCUUAUCCAUGGCUAUCUCGCCAGUACCUACUAUGGUGCCUGAUGCCUAGGAGUGCAUAGUAAAUAUUUGUAAGUUGUUUAUUGAAUAAAUGCAUAUUAUUUACAAAGGAAGUAGAAUUUGAGCAGGACCUUGAAAAAGAUUUUGACAGAGAUAUGCAAGAAGAGAAUUCGAGGAGGAUGGAACAACCUAAUCAGAAAAAAAAGAACAGGAAAAGUACACAUAGGAGUAAUUUGAAUGGCCAUGAGAAUGUCAGUGUUUGCCAGAAAUGACAUGCUAAGAAACAGCAGUGGGAAUCACCCUGAUUUUUGCAGAAGAUAAAUAAAACUACCAGAGCUGAGCCUUAGACAAGUGGCUCAAGAAGUUCCAUGAAUAAUCGAUGGUUAAAAAGAGAGACUGGAGAGAAGGAUAUUAUUAGGAGGCUGCUAAAGUGACGCAUGCAAAAACCGAUGGGGGAUCAGACAGAGCAGCUGUGGUGGGAAUCGAAAGAUCAAAGACUGCAGAAUGAUUGAAUAGAAUGCGUGCAGGAGAAAAGAGAAGGAGAAAUUAGCAAUAAUCCUCAAGUUUCUACCUGGGAGGGUGGGUGAAGCAGGUGGAGCUGUGAGCAGAGAUUGCAAACACAGCAAAAGUCAGAAGACUUUGGGCUGGAAGUAAGAGAGCUUUAUAUAGACAUCUGGUGUUGGAAGUGUUGAAGAGCCACCAGCGAGAGCUAUCUGGUAGAAAAAAGAGAGAUCUGAACUUAGAUGUGGGUUUAAGUAACACCUGCCCAGAGUGGGCAGCUGGAGUUGGUGAGCCAACUCAGAGUCCCAAGAAUGCCUUAGGACCCACCUUCUUUACUUUUUCUGUACAGUAACUGAGCUUGAGCCUCAAAUAGUGGUCCCCGAAGAAGGCUUCUAGAAUCCGCCAGGCUGCUAGGAUCUAUACUGGCUUCCUUUGUUGGACAUUUGGUAGAAGUGAGAGACAGGACUAGCCGGAUUUCCUAGGCCAACUAAGAAUCCCUAACCCUAGCUGGGAAGGUGACCGUGUCCACCUUUAAGCAUGGGGCUUGCAACUUAGCUCACACCCAACCAAUCAGAUAGUAAAGAGAGCUCACUAAAAUGCUAAUUAGGCAAAAACAGGAGGUAAAGAAAUAGCCAAUGAUCUAUCGCCUGAGAGCACAGCAGAAGAGACAAUGAUCAGGAUAUAAACACAGGCAUUCGAGCCGGCAAUGGCAACCCCUUCAGGUCCCCUCCCUUUGUAUGGGAGCUCUGUUUUCACUCUAUUAAAUCUUGCAACUGCACUCUUCUGGUCCCUGUUUGUUACGGCUGGAGCUGAGCUUUCGCUCGCCGCCCACUGAUGCUGGCCGCCGUCACAGACCCACCGCUGACUUCCAUCCCCCUGGAUCCCGCAGGGUGUCCGCUGUGCUCCUGAUCCAGCAAGGCGCCCACUGCUGCUCCUGAUCGGGCUAAAGGCUUGUCAUUGUUCCUGCACAGCUAAGUGUCCGGGUUCGUCCUAAUCGAGCUGAACACUAGUCACUGGGUUCCAUGGUUCUCUUCCGUGACCCACGGCUCCUAAUAGAGCUAUAACACUCACCGCAUGGCCCAAGAUUCCAUUCUUUGGAAUCCGUGAGGCCGAGAACCCCACGUCAGAGAAUACGAGGCUUGCCACCAUCUUGGAAGCAGCCCGCCACCAUCUUGGAAGCAGCCCGCCACCAUCUUGGAAGCAGCCCACCACCAUCUUGGGAGCUCUGGGAGCAAAGACCCCUGGUAACAGAAGCAUGUUCCACAUAUCGUUGAGUUGUUGUCAAGAUGUAGAUGUUGUUCUUGCAUACUGGAAAAUCACCUCCUACUUCGAAUAUCUUCUUGAUUCUCUCUCCUGCUGUGCCCUUCUAACCAGCACAUGAAGCCUAAGUUCCCUUUCUCUUGACUCUCUCCUACCCCACACUGCAAGUAAUCAAAUCGGAGUUCUCCCUGACCAUGAUGAAGUUUGUGUCCCCAUUAAGGAAAUAAUAAACAUGGGGAAAAUAUCCCACAUAGAGCUAGAAAAGAAUUCUCCUAAAAGUAGAAACUUUAGCUUUGACUGAUAGAAAAGGUAUACCCCUGAAUGUUUCCAAACUUAAGUCACAAGGAAGCCCAGCCAAGUACCAGACUGGUGUGAAAUAAUUUCCCCAGGUGAAGAGUACCACACUAUUAGUCGACCGUGCAAUUGAAGAAGAGAACGUUGCUUUUCACCAGUCAUCUAGGGUCUGGAAUGGGAAGGCACGAGGCCAGUGUGAUGUAGACAUACUCAGCUCUCAAAGAAUUUUUCCUUGAAAGAGAAAAACAAAGGCAGGAUGAGAACUCAAUCAGCUGCUUCCUUCGGGAGACUGGGUGUAGCAGGACGGGCCCCUCACAAAUAUGCCAAGAAUGAAGCUUUUAAAUUACCACCACCAAGAAUACUGGGUCAGAAGUUCCUAGAAUUACUUCCUACUUGGAUCAAAGAAGCAUAGAGGUACAACAAGGUCUGACAUCAGAUGUGAAGUGAUUUUGAACCCUGACCCACACUCCGAUCCCCUUGGAGAACAUAACUACUCCUGGAGGUGGAAGCGGAUCCUGCCUUAAUGGAUAAAAACUGAGACAAGUCUUUUGUUCUUUUUAAUACCCCAAAGGGUUGAGCUUAAGCCUUUCUGUAGGAGCAAAGACAUCACCGUAAGGCAAACAGUGCUAGUACAGAACCAUAAAACCCUUCUCAGCAUCUAAAGGAUACCCAUUAUGUUCAUCUCAAAGUCAGAGUUAUUUACUUUGCCUUUUACGUUGACAUUCUUUUCUCUACUAUGAUAGUUAGCAAAAUUGAAUGAGAAAAGGCCCAAGUUCAAAAUCCGCUCUGCUGCUUACAGGCCUUCUUGGUUUCAAUAGUCAAACCCAGUGAUGAUUCUUGCCUGAGCAAUCUCAGGUUGUUAUGAGGAGUAGAGAAUAUGUAAAUAUGGGAAAGGGCUUUGUGACUAUUCAGCUCUCCACAUGUAAGCGGUUGUAAUCAUUCACUGACUAAACCUAUCAGGUGGAUUUUCUUCAACCUCAGUUGCUGCUUCAUUCUCCCUUAGGGUCAUGAAGUAUCAGCAAGAGGCUGUUACUAGUUUUCUUGGGCUGCCUCCUGUCUGUCUCAGUCUGUAUCUACAAUGGAACCGACAAUGAAUCAUAUCUGUGGAGCACCAGGCAACUCAGCACUCCAGUCUGUUAAAGUGUCUUGCACUGCUUAUAUUACAGCAAAUAAAACAGGAAAGGAAAAUAUAUUUAUUCCCAUCAUUAAUAAUCCAUCAUGCCUAGUCAAAUUGGUCAUAGUAAACUGGAACAAUCACUCUUGCCUACAACAGUCUCAAUAUAAGGGAGUUCAUUGUGCUAGCUGGGAACUUGGGACCAGAUCAUCCUGGAUCUCAGUGGGCCACUUUCUGGCUGAGUGACCCCACAAAGGUCACUUAAUUCCUCAUAAUUUCCUUAUAGAUAUAAUCUUGGUUAAUAAUAACAACCUAUGUAAAGAGUGAGCAUAUUAAGUUAAAUGAGGAAAUAAUGAUAAAAGUGUUACAUAGUAAGUCCGCAAGCACAUUUGGGUUCCCUUCUUCCUUGCAGGUGAAGGGAAAAUAAAUAAUAAUAAUGAUAGCUGGCUGGGCAAGGUAGCUCACACUUGUAAUCCCAGUACUUGGAGAGGCUAAGGAGGGAGGAUUGCUUGAGCACAGGAAUUUGAGACUAGCCUGGGCAAUAUGGCAAAACCCUAGCUCUACAAAAAUGCAAAAAUUAGCUGAGUACGGCAGCAUGCACCUGUAGUCCUAGCUACUCAGGAGGCUGCAGUGGGAGAAUAGCUUAAGUCUGGGAAGUUGAGGCUGCAGUGAGCUGUGAUUGUGCACUGCACUCCAGCCUGGGUGACAGAGCAAGACCCUGUCUCAAAAAAAAAAAAAAAAAGUAAAUAAUGAUAGGUAAUACUUACAUAGCAUCUAUGAUACAGCAGGCACUGUUCUGAGAGUUCUACUUAUUAAUAUAUUAGCUCACCUAGUCUUUGCAACUCUGAGAUAGAAUGCUGUUUUCAUCUAACCUUUACAGGUGGGUAAGCUAAAGCUCAGUGAGAUUAUAUACUUACCUGGGGUCACAUAGCUCACAGGGACAGAACCAGGAUUUAACUCAGGUGCUCUGACACUACAGUGCUGUGCUAACCUACCAUGCUACAACGCUGCCCAUGAUUAUGGAUAUUAAUCCACAGGCUUCUUUCAACUUUAUAUUCUGAGAGCUGAAACAUAGGCUUUUUACCCCUAAUUAAUAUGGCAUGUCUUCCUAGACAAUAUAUAUUCUAAUUACAUUUUUAAUAUCUGUCAUUUGUAAUGAUUCAGCUUCUGAUAAGCUUGUUAACUGAAUGUCAUUUUUUUCUCCACCUAAACUACCUUUGGAAAGUUCACACACAUCAUGCAGUUAUUUAUGAUUUGAGGAAGAGCAUCAUAUAUGUAAACUAAAAAAUGUUUAUUAAAGUUAGAAUUAAUAAUGAUUGAUUUGAUUUCACUGAUGAGUUAAUUGGGGAAAUGAACAGGUAAUUGGGUAUUUACAAAAGAAGGUCAAGAAUGGUUUGUGGGAGUAGUCAGUCAGAUCCAUUUCCUAAGCUUUUGCUCAGCCUUUCCUUCCUAAAACCCAGCCUGCUGGGGAGCAGGAAAAGAAAGCAAGGCACCGUACAUUUGCUUACGACUGACACACUUUUCUCACAAAAGCUGUGCUCUGAUCUGAUCUACUCUGACAC
rnacentral:lncRNA from 1 species